rnacentral:rRNA from 1 species
UACGUAGGGACCAAGCGUUGUCCGGAAUCAUUGGGCGUAAAGAGCGUGUAGGCGGCUUGUUAAGUCUUGCGUGAAAUCUCGGGGCUCAACCCCGAGCGGUCGUGAGAAACUGGCAGGCUAGAGUGCGGGAGAGGAGAGUGGAAUUCCCGGUGUAGCGGUGAAAUGCGCAGAUAUCGGGAAGAACACCCGUGGCGAAGGCGGCUCUCUGGGACGGUACUGACGCUGAGACGCGAAAGCGUGGGGAGCGAACAGG